rnacentral:misc_RNA from 1 species
CUGUAUACAAUACCGACCAGAAUUAUAUCACCUUUUUUAAGUAUAACCAGGUUUUUUAAGUAUAACUUUUGUCAAGGUGCAUCGAAUACGCUAAAAAUUUUAUAAUAGACACCUAGUAGCAGGUGCAUGAAGUGUAAUGAGAUUUGACAAAAUACACCAUGAUUUUGUAAUUUUUUAUUAAUUUUCUGAAAAUUGCACAUUUUUGCUAUCUUUGUUUUUCGUGUCACGUUCCCAAGCUGUAAGCGAUGCCAAACGUUUCGCUACAAAGUACUAGAGUUAUACAAUAUGGAUUUGUUGUUUAUUUUUAAAGCAUUUGUAUGUACUUGUUAUGAUGCGAUAAAAAUUUAUUAUUUUAGAGAUUUCAAAUAAAAUGAAAAGUUGUUCCUCCAGUAAGGUAUAUUUGUAUCAAAACAUAUUAUGAUAUGGUAAAAAUCCAUGCCCUUUAAAAGUUAUGCUUAAAAAACCUAAAGGUGAUAUAAUUUUGGCCGGUACUAUAUAUAAUAUUUUUACCGUAGUAGACAAACAUGCAUAUAUGUAUAUAAAGAAGCAAUGCACGGAUUAUAUAAUGUUUGACUGCUGUCAAAGUUUAAUCGCAAUGAUAGUUACUUUCGCAAGACGAAGUAAACGUAGCGAGAGAACCAAUCAACAUCGCGGAAAACUGUCAACAAUAAAAUUAGUUAUAAGGCUUUUUUAAGAGAGGAUUAUUAAUUAUUAAUCGUAUUUCUUACAGAUGUCACUAAUAAAAGGAUUUAAUCAUUUUUUACUCAUACAAAGCGAUCAUGUGAUGAUAGAGAUCAUGCAUUAUCAAUAUGCAGUAUAUAUUAAUAUUUUAUCGGAGACUGUCACAGAUAAGUUUUAAAGUUAUCUAAUGUUGAAUUCAUAUACUGAACAAAGGCGACUUACAUAUGUAUAUGACAUAUCUGAAAUGAAAAAUUUACAAUUCGGACUUUGCGAUAUGUCUACUCAUAGGGCACACAGAGGAAAAAUAAAAACAAUUUUCUUAUAUAAAUUAUAUAAACUCAAGCUUUUGAUUGAAUCUAGUUAGAAUUCGAUCGGUUUAGCCGUUAUUGAAAUGCGAUAAUCGCAAGUCGCGUACUCGCGUGUAAUACUUGGGUAGCCGUAAAUCAAUUUUGCGCUGCGCGUUAACUUGGCGUGAGACACUAUCGCGUCUUUUGAUUAUACCUCCAUUCCGUCAUCAAGCACUAAAGAUGAGAAAAGUUGAAAUGUUUGUAACAUGUAUUUAAUUUAAUUACAUUAAACAAUAAACACAAUUGAAAAUUGUUAAAUUAUUGUUGCUUUUGUUCACUGAUAAUCACGUUGACUUUUCGCAUGGCCCAAUUUUUUGCACAUUUUAUAAUUUUAAGAAGUUAUUCAAAAUAUAGUUUUUUUUAAAUUAAAUGUAUCAGUUUUGUCAUUUGUUAUUGAAGGACGCAAUACUAAAUUUCUUAUUGAGGGUAGCGAUGGUAAAUAUGCAUAUGUGUAUACAUGUACAUAAAAAAAGUCAAAUUAUAUAACGUGAACUUUAUUGCACAAAUGUCGUUAAAAUUCUAUUUUAUUGUACUGAGAAAAACUUACAAAAAAAUUACCGUGCUUAAAACUAUAAAAUCGAAUGCAAUGUCUUUUUUAGUGUAAAUUUAUAAAAAAAUAAAAAAAUUUUUUGUUUAUUGUACGUAAAAAUGUCUGUCAUUAUUUCUAGAGUUCAAAUGUUUAUGAUCCGAGCAUGACCUCGUAAAAAAUCGCAUGUGCGAGUGAGUUGGGUACUAAAGUGAAAUAAAAACAUUUCUCAAAACGAUCAGACGUUCGUCGACUGCCAUUGUAAUCUAUUCGCAAAUGAGAUGAGAAAUAAGAUAAAUGAGUCAAAUGUUUCUGAAAAGCAUGUUUGUGCAUAAUCCAGCAGUCAGCCGUUAUGAAGUGGCGUUAAUACGAAAAUACACAAUAGUCAACGUUUUUUAUAAGAUGAAAGUAACGAUUUCGACGAUGCUAAUUCGGAUGUCGAUGAAGAUGAUUAUAUGUUCGAAGAAUCGUACGUAAGCGAUUCGGAGCAAUUUGAAGAUACCGAUGACGAAAUGGGCAGUGAUUUUGAAAAUGCAACGUUGGAUCAGCGCAUUCUAACAUUGCGUGUACGCGGUAGUACUUUUUAAUAAUAAAAAUAUAAUAAAUUUGAUUUUUUUAUAAAAA